rnacentral:rRNA from 1 species
UUUUAUUAGCUAUCAUUAAUAAUAUGAUCUGCUCAAUGAAAUUUAAAUAGCCGCAAGUUCUGUGCUAAGGUAGCAUAAUCAUUUGUCUUUUAAAUAAAGACUAGUAUAAAAGAUUAAACAUUUCAAUUAAUAUUUUUGCUAUAAAAACUCAAAUUAUUCUAAAUAUUAAAAAAUAUUUAUACAAUAGAAAGACGACAAGACCCUAUCGAACUUAACUACUGUUAAACUGGGGCAGUAAAUUAAUUAUUAUUUUAACAUUAAAUAAUAAAUAAUAUGACCUAACUCAAUUAAAUAAAAGAAUAAGUUACCGUAGGGAUAACAGCGUAAUAAUCUUCUAAAGAUCCUAUAAAAAAAAAAGAUUACGACCUCGAUGUUGAAUAAUUAUACUAAAUAACGCAAAAGUUAAAUAUUGAAAGUCUGUUCGACUCUUAAAUAAUUACA